rnacentral:rRNA from 2 species
UGCAGAAUCCCGCGAACCAUCGAGUCUUUGAACGCAAGUUGCGCCCGAGGCCACUCGGCCGAGGGCACGCCUGCCUGGGCGUCA